CUAUGGUUGGAGUCCACCGUAGGGAGCGUGGAUGGAGCUCCCUACAGCAGUAAAAUAUCUAAAAGAUUACGAAUGGAUAAGAUUAAUUUUUAAGGCCACCAAAGAAUCUUUUACAGAUGUUGUGCUAUUGAGUGUAGUAUAAAAUAAAUAAGUAAUUAUAUAUUUAUAAAAAUAUUGAUUGAUUAUUCCCGUAACAAUUGGGAAUUCUACUCUCAAAAUUGUUGACGAGUAUGUCUACCUUGGACAAACAAGCCAGUGAUGUCGGUUCACUUUCGCAAAAGAGGAGUAGGAUGCGCGGGAAACUCCGUAAAAUCCUCUCGUCCCAAAUGCCAUAGUGUCUUCAGAUGAAUGGUUUUACACGGGGACACCAGUGUGUGUUGCCAGUGAUGACUUACGGUACUCAAACGUGGUUGCCUUAUGCUCAUGAAAGAAGUAAAGGUGGGCAGGACAGGCUCAUUCGACAGAGACUGGGGCAGUUAACGACCAUGAAACGGAAGACGCGGUGUUGGUAGGCUGAUCCCCACAAGAUGAUCGCUGAAACUAGUCCAUACUCAAAUCGGGAUCUUUUAUGCUUCUGAUGAUGAGGGUUCCCUUCAAAUAUUUCUGCAGUCAAAAAUGAAAAAUAAGGUGAAUUUGGUCAAUAUCUGGUUUAGAAGCAUUAUUCAGCCGGCAAUUAACAUGAGGGCCAUAUUUCACCGAGACACCACGGUAGCGCUACCAAUCGCUACGCAGACCGAAAGCUACCAAACAAGGCACCAUAUCGACACCAGAGUCAUGACGCGUUCAAGCUGGUCACACCACCACAUUGAAUGUCAACCAAACGGACACCAGAUUUCCUACAUUUGAAGUUCAGAUGGAUGGAACCAUACCCGAAAAUCGACACUAGAGGAAUACAAACCGGGAACGCUGUAUUGUCAUAUAAAACAUUAAAAAAAAGUUUUUUUUUGUGGUAAAACAUAGAUUAUGACCGAUUCUCAGAGCUACCAAAUUUACAUAUAAAAUAUCAUAAAAAUCUAUCUAGCGGUUUCGGAGGAAUAUGGCAACUAACAUUGUGAACCGAGAAUUUUAUAUUUAAAAAGAACUAAAAUCUAAACUAAUAAAUGCGCUCUACAUUUUUCCAUCGGUUAUACUGCGAAAACUGCUAAACCGAUUGGAAUAAAAUUUAUAUCAUAAGAUGCAGCCUAUUUCGAAGAAUAUUUUAGUAUACGUUUGUAAUUUCCUUCAAACCUUAAAACCUUCUUAUCCGGAACUCAUAUUUUAUUGACUUAGAAAUCUAUUCAUCUAAUUUUCUAUAUAUAUUUAAUGAAAAUGAUCUUUGUUUGAGGCUCGAUCACGCUUAAACCACUGAUCAUAUCGACAUGAAACUACCACCAUUCAAUGCAAAAUGUAUCCUAGAUGGUUUAUGGGUUAAAUAGCCUAUACUUUUUUUUCGAAUUCCGGCGGCUAAUACAUAUAUAUUUUCAAUACAAAUACUUCAGACAAUGACGUUCAUUACAUAAUAUGAUAAUUCAUACAAUGAGCGGGCGCGGAGUACUUAAUUUAUAUGGCAAUACGUUUUCCAAGUCCACACUUGUGUUAUAAUAAACCACCUGUUGAAAGCUGGAAAUAUAAGCUUUUAAAAUAGUAUCACAAGAGCCGACCUAAAAAGCGGUGCGAGUCAACGAUUUUACUUAUUGUGCCAACGAGACUAAACCUAUAAAACAUAAAUUUUAUUAUUGAAUUGGGAAUACAAAAAAUCAAA